rnacentral:rRNA from 1 species
CUAAUAAGAGGUCCAGCCUGCCCAGUGACUUUGUUCAACGGCCGCGGUAUCCUAACCGUGCGAAGGUAGCGUAAUCACUUGUUCUUUAAAUGAGGACUAGUAUGAAUGGCACCACGAAGGUUAUACUGUCUCCUUUCUCUAAUCAGUGAAACUAAUCUUCCCGUGAAGAAGCGGGAAUAAACAUAUAAGACGAGAAGACCCUAUGGAGCUUUAAACAAGUGUACAACUGCCUUUCCUAUUUUAAACUUUCAGAAAAUAAACCACUAUUCAGGCAUUUUGAUAUAAAGUUUUAGGUUGGGGUGACCACGGAGAAAAAUGUAACCUCCGCAAUGAACGGGGCUUCCCCCCUUAACUAAGAGCUACAACCCUAAGAAUUAAUAAAUUGACAUCAAUGACCCAAUAAAUUUGAUCAAUGAACCAAGUUACCCUAGGGAUAACAGCGCAAUCCACUUCAAGAGCCCCUAUCGACAAGUGGGUUUACGACCUCGAUGUUGGAUCAGGGUAUCCCAGUGGUGCAGCCGCUACUAACG